GACGAACGCUGGCGGCGUGCCUAACACAUGCAAGUCGAACGGAGUUAAGACUUCGGUUUUAACUUAGUGGCGAACGGGUGAGUAACGCGUGAGAAACCUGCCUUUCAGUGGGGGACAACAGUUGGAAACGACUGCUAAUACCGCAUAAUGUUAUUUGGGGGCAUCCCUGAAUAACCAAAGCUUUAUGUGCUGAAAGAUGGUCUCGCGUCUGAUUAGCUAGAUGGCGGGGUAACGCCACCAUGGCGACGAUCAGUAGCCGGUCUGAGAGGAUGAACGGCCACAUUGGGACUGAGAUACGGCCCAGACUCCUACGGGAGGCAGCAGUGGGGAAUAUUGGGGCAAUGGGGGGAAACCCUGACCCAGCAACGCCGCGUGAAGGAAGAAGGCCUUCGGGUUGUAAACGUUCUUUUACCUAGGGACGAACACAAUGACGGUACCUUAGGAGAAAAAGACAACGGCUAACUACGUAGCCAG
rnacentral:rRNA from 1 species